rnacentral:tRNA from 1 species
CAAGGGGUAGUUUAUAAAAAAUAUUAAUUUUGGAGAUUAAUGAAAGGAGGAUUUCUUCCCCUUGA